GACGAACGCUGGCGGCGUGCUUAACACAUGCAAGUCGAACGGCAAGACCCUGCUUGCGUGGUGUUCUCGAGUGGCAAACGGGUGAGUAACACGUGUGUAACCUGCCCUACAUUUUGGGAUAACUUCAGGAAACGGGGGCUAAUCCCGUAUAGCAGCCCCCGCUGCAUGGUGGGGGGUGGAUAUUUUCGGCGGGUGGGGAUGGACUCGCGGCUUAUCAGCUUGUUGGUGGGGGAGGGGCUGACCAAGGCUUGGACGGGUAGCCGGCCUGAGAGGGUGGACGGCGACAUGAGGACUACGAUACGGCGCAGAGUCCUACGGGAGGCAGCAGUGGGGAAUAUGGCACAAUGGGCGGAAGCCUGAUGCAGCGACGCCGCGGGCGGGAUGACGGCCUUCGGGUUGUAAACCGCUUUCGCCUGUGACGAAGCGGUAGUGACGGUACCGGGAGAAGAAGCACCGGCUAACUACGUG
rnacentral:rRNA from 1 species